GGUAGGUUACCCAAGCGGUCAAAGGGGGCAGACUGUAAAUCUGCUGGCGUGAUGCCUUCGAUGGUUCGAAUCCAUCACCUACCACCA
rnacentral:tRNA from 1 species